rnacentral:rRNA from 1 species
GUAUUGUUGUAAUAAUAAUAAAAUUUUAUGUUAAGUUUUUGCAUGUAGGUGAAAUUAAUGUUUAAGUUUAUAGGUUUGUUUUAAAUAAAUUUUGGUUUAAAUUAGGAUUAGAUACCCUAUUAUUCAAGAACUUUAAGUUGGUAGUAUUUUUUAAUUUUUGAAAUCUAAAGAUUAUGGCGGUAUUUUAAGCUAUUUAGAGGAAUUUAUUCUUUAAUGGAUAAGGCUCAGGGAUCUUACUUGGAUUAGUUAAGCAGUUUGUAUAUCGCUAUCAUGGAAUAAUGUUGAUUAAUUAAUAAUUGGAAUUAUAUUUUGUAAGAAUGUUAGGUCAAAAUGCAGCAAAAAUUUAAGGUUGAAAUAAAUUACUUUUAUUUAUAUAUGAGUUUUUGAAAAUAGGGUUUAGGAUUUAAAAGUAAAUUUAAAUUAUAAUGUUUAGUUGAAUUUAGCUCUAAAAUAUGCACAUAUCGCCCGUCACUCUCAGAGAUGAGAUAAGUCGUAACAAAGUAAAAGUACCGGAAGGUGUUUU